rnacentral:misc_RNA from 1 species
GAUUUUGAUUUUGAUUUUGAUUUUUAUUUUUUUAUAAUGAAUAAGAUUAAGAAUUGCUUAUUUGGAAAAUUUUGCUGUAAAAUUAAUAAAUUAUUUGAAUUAAGUAAUAUACACUAAUAUAUAGUAUAAUGGAAAGAGAAUAUUAAAUAUAUUAGAAUAAUUAUAGAGUUAUAAAAUAAUCAAAGCUUAAUUUAUUCAAAUUUGUAAUUCCAGCAUUAUUUUUUUAAAAAAAUUUAAAUCAAAAAGCCUUCACUGUCUAUGUUUCUAAAUUCAAAUUGUUAAACUAAUAAUUCAGUGAUUGAAUACGUAUAUGUAAUAUAAAAGAAAAAGAAUUGAAAUUCUAACAACCAUUAUAGCCCUGUUUGGCAUUGAGUUUCA